CACGUAGGGUGCGAGCGUUGUCCGGAUUUAUUGGGCGUAAAGAGCUCGUAGGCGGUUUGUUGCGUCUAUCGUGAAAACCUGCAGCUUAACUGUGGGCUUGCGGUGGAUACGGGCAGACUAGAGUUCGGUAGGGGAGACUGGAAUUCCUGGUGUAGCGGUGAAAUGCGCAGAUAUCAGGAGGAACACCGGUGGCGAAGGCGGGUCUCUGGGCCGAAACUGACGCUGAGGAGCGAAAGCGUGGGGAGCAAACAGG
rnacentral:rRNA from 1 species